rnacentral:rRNA from 1 species
UACGUAGGGGGCGAGCGUUGUCCGGAUUUAUUGGGCGUAAAGAGCGUGUAGGCGGCUUUACAGGUCCGUUGUGAAAACUCGAGGCUCAACCUCGAGACGCCGGUGGAAACCGUAAAGCUAGAGUCCGGAAGAGGAGAGUGGAAUUCCUGGUGUAGCGGUGAAAUGCGCAGAUAUCAGGAGGAACACCCGUGGCGAAAGCGGCUCUCUGGGACGAUACUGACGCUGAGACGCGAAAGCGUGGGGAGCAAACAGG